rnacentral:misc_RNA from 1 species
UCCUGGUUAACCCAGGCAGUCUCGUUAGAGUUCCCACCUUAAAUGUUGGCAACUAACGAUAAGGGUUGCGCUCGUUGCUGGACUUAACCAAACACCUCACGGCACGAGCUGACGACAGCCAUGCAGCACCUAUAUAAAGACCCUUUCGAGAAACAACAUCUCUGUUGUCGUCCUCUAUAUUUCGAGCCCAGGUAAGGUUCUUCGCGUUGCAUCGAAUUAAACCACAUGCUCCACUGCUUGUGCGGGCCCCCGUCAAUUCUUUUGAGUUUCACCCUUGCGAGCGUACUCCCCAGGCGGCAUACUUAAUGCGUUAGCUCCGGUACAGAGGGGGUUGAGCCCUCCUACACCUAGUAUGCAUCGUUUAAGGCAUGGACUAC